rnacentral:rRNA from 1 species
UACGGGGGGAGCAAGCGUUGUUCGGAUUUACUGGGCGUAAAGGGCGCGUAGGCGGCCACCGCAAGUCAGUUGUGAAAUCUCUGGGCUUAACCCAGAACGGUCAGCUGAUACUGCGGGGCUAGAGUGCAGAAGGGGCAACUGGAAUUCUCGGUGUAGCGGUGAAAUGCGUAGAUAUCGAGAGGAACACCUGCGGCGAAGGCGGGUUGCUGGGCUGACACUGACGCUGAUGUGCGAAAGCUAGGGGAGCGAACAGG